rnacentral:snRNA from 1 species
UACUCUUGUUUCUCUUCAGAUCGUAUAAAUCUUUCGCCUUUUACUAAAGAUUUCCGUGGAGAGGAACAACAAGAGCUUAACACAAUUUUUUGAUGCCCUGCCUUAUGGUGGGGU